rnacentral:misc_RNA from 1 species
AAGACUAUAGACCUGCGGAGUACCUGCGGAAGGAUCAUUAUCGUAUUGUAACAAUUGGGGGGGCCACCGUGGUCUGUCGCUGACCCUUUGAAAGGGGGGUCGUGCACGCCCCCAUAGUGUCAUCCUCAUACAAUCCAACUCACCUCUGUGCAUCACCGCGUGGGUUCCUUUCUGGGUCGAGUCAGACUGGCUCAGAAAAAAGGGGCUUGCGUUUUCCAUACAAAUACCCUUAUAAAUCCA